CCUUUCGAGCAAGGCGCGACUUGUUCCUGGGACUGUGAGGGCGCUGCGGUCGAGCUCUGCACCAAGUGAGCGGUGCUGCUCUGCUGACAUGUGCAGGUUAGUUGCGGGUGUUUGCGCUUCUUGUGCUGUAGCCGAUUUUAUUUUCUCACUGCGUGUGCCUUGUCACUGUCCUCGUGCACGUGGCUGGCGGUCGAGGUCUUUUGCGUCCGGUUCAAGUUUUGCGCUCACGGAGACGCCAGUACCGGCGAAGUGUGGGUCACCGAGCGUUAACAUUGCGUGCGCACUUUGGUUUGUAGGCCCACUUUUUUUUCAUCUCAUUCCUUUCUUCGGACCUGCACCCCCAUGUAUGGUGUCUGUAAAAUAUUAUACUUCAGCUUAAACAACAACAGAAAGAAAUAACGGCUGCUUUAUUCAGCGAGCACCAUGUAAAUGCCGAGUGCCGCGACAAGCACCUAUAACCGCGCCAGGCUAUAGCAGACGAUGCUUGGACGCUCGGCGCGGAGGUCGAUGGCAGCGCUGCGGUGGCGUGAACGGUAGCGGGCUAAAUGGUGCGCAUAGGCUAGGAGUUGGGGUACUUAAAGAGGAUCUAUAAACGUUGUUGCGGCGGCCCGGUGGUCACGGGCGGUCGAUGUGGUACUGAUCGUUUGAUCAUAUUUACGCGGUGCGUAGAGAACAUGUGCUCCUUUUUUGUGUGAAUUAACGAUCACUAAGCCCUGGGUCCUGUGCAAUGCUAUUAGCUCGCUGUAUGUUUCUUGCGGUGCGCCGUUGUUGAUUAUCGUAGUGCGGUCCACACGCGCUUCCUUUGUGCCCGGCUCAUGAGAAGUGUUGUACUCUCGCCGCUCCCGCAUCGGCUCACAGUGCACGGAAGAAUGUGUUGAUAGUUGUGCUAUCGCGUGCUGUAGUUCACCGCAAUUCAACACUACGCUGGACGGACUGUUGGUGCAGUCGAUGCGGCGUGAACGGACACGAAGGAGCGCUCGCCUCAGAAGGGAUGUCACAAUUUCCUGAGACGGAGGCAUCUCUGCACCACAAAGGAAACUGCGGCACUAUGCAGCCAGAACAGCACGACAAAGCAUCUGAUCUGCCUGCUUUGACAAGAUGUGGCUGGGCCUGCAGAAAGAGUGUAAGCACACUACUGUGUUGCUGAUCAGUGCUGGUGCUGAUCUCUACGUCUGAGUUGGCCUCACAACGUCCAGGCGCCACUGUGCUUUGCUUCAUUGACAAGGUGUGGCUGGGCCUGCAGAAAAGCUGUAAGCAGACUGCAGUGUUGCUGAUCAGUGCUGAUCUCCACGUCCGAGUAGGUCCCACAAUAUCCAGGCACCACGGUGCUUUCACAAGGUUCACAAUCCAAAUGGGUUAUUUAUUUGUGCUAGCAAGUGGAUGUGGGUAAACCAAGCCAAAACGGACAGCACGUUUGCCAGGGAGAUUGCCCAGUGCUUGUGGCAGGCACAUGAAUUAAUCCACAGGAGCGUUACGAGCAAAAUAUGUAUGCGAAAGCUAAAGGAAGGUGGUGAGGCCAAGCCAGCGUUGACACCACAAAAACUUUGUGCAUAUCUAAAGGCAUACGAGCACUUUGUUUCAAAAACGCCAAGCACCGUGGAUACAGAGGCAAGGAGGCUGAAGGACCUGAACAAGCACCUGGCCACCAUGCUUCGGGAUGCAAAAUAAAGAUGGUUUGUGUUAA